rnacentral:lncRNA from 1 species
UGUUAGAGGGUUUUCAUGGCAAUGUUGGGAGGCUUGACAUAAGAGGUGAUAGGCAGCAAUAGAUAGUGGUAGAAACGACACAUGUAGCAUGGCAAUGAUAGUGGUGGUAUCUAGGGAAAUGAUCAUCUUGCAUGAGAUCCCGCUUGGAAGAAUAACGAAUGCAUGAAGAAGUCGAACCAAAGUAGUCGAACGAAUGCUCACUUUGAAACACUUUCGGAACUCUAUCGAUGAGAAACCAUCCGGAAACAAAGAAUGAACACACGAAAAACACCACAACAUAUACAUGGCAUGAUGCACAAACAAAUAUGAUACAUGUCUGGCUUAAAUAUGCGGGGCAUGGCAAUCACGACAAUUAAACAC